rnacentral:miRNA from 1 species
UUGUCUGCGCCACAAUUCUAAC